GCAUAAUAAAUUGCCCUUUAAUUGAGGGCUAGAAUGAAUGGACAAACGAAUGUCUAACUGUCUCUUAUUUAUAAAUAAAAAUUAACCUCCAGGUGAAGAGACCUGGCUAUUAUUUUAGGACAAAAAGACCCCGUAGAGCUCAGUGUUUAAUUUUAAAAAUCUAUAAUAUUUAUAUUAAAUUUGUAAAACUAGUCCACUUAGCUGGGGCGGCUUAGGAACAAAUAACUUCCUUACAUAACUAUGGUUUACUUACCUAUAAUUUAUCCUUAUGAAAGAAAUAGAAAAAAGCUACCUCGGGGCUAACAGAUUAAUCCUCUUUAAGAGUCCACAUCAAAAAGAGGGC
rnacentral:rRNA from 1 species